AUCCCACAUGUCUAUGCCCAGAAAACUGCUGAUCUACUUUCUUUUUUUUAUUUUUUUGAGACAGAGUCUCGCUCUGUCGCCCAGGCUGGAGUGCAGUGGCGUGAUCUCAGCUCACUGCAAGCUCUGCCUCCCGGGUUCACGCCAUUCUCCUGCCUCAGCCUCCCGAGUAGCUGGGACUACAGGUGCCUACCACCACACCUGGCUAAUUUUUUGUAUUUUUAGUAGAGACGGGGUUUCACUGUGUUGGCCAGGAUGGUCUCGAUCUCCUGACCUUGUGAUCCGCCCGCCUCGGCCUCCCAAAGUGCUGGGAUGACAGGCGUAAGCCACCGUGCCGGGCUGGAGUCCUAUAGUUAUAUAGAGUGGGAAACAAGGGGCAGGCUACAUUAACCAGGGGCUUUCGGGAAGUUAGGGCCCACGGGCCAAAUCCAGCUGUUCUUGUAUUGGCCUUGAGCUGAGGAUGGUUUUUACAUUUUUAAAAUGAUUUAAAAGACUCAGAGAAAAAAUUUUGUGACAUGUGAAAAUUAUAUGAAAUUCAAAUUUUAGGGUCCAUAAAUAAAGUUUUACUGGAGCACACACACAUCCAUUUGUUUAUCUGUUGUCAAUGGCUCCUUUCAUGCUACAACAACAGAGUUGAGUGGAAAGACUAUAUGCCCCCAAAAGCUGAAAAUAGUUACUACCUGGUUCUAUGCAGAAAAUAUUUGCAGAUCCUUAGCCUAAAAAGAAUUAAGCAAAAAUUCUGAAAUUUUUCAAAAUCAAUCUUAAUAUCCCCAGAGCAUUAUACAUUUCCUAUAGACACACAUGGUAUAUUUUUUCUGUUCAUAUGUGUCUGUAAAAUCCCCUUUUCAUGGAGCUUCUAAGGUGGGGUUAGUGUUUUCUGGAACAUAGUUUAUUUUUAAUUUUUUAUUUUUAAGAUGGAGCCUUGCUCUGUCGCCCAGGUGGGAGUGCGGUGGCACAAUCUUGGCUCACUGCAACCUCCACCUCCCGGGUUCAAGUGCAACCUCAGCCUCCGGAGUAACUGGGAGUACAGGCAUGCACACCAUGUCUGGCUAGUUUUGUAUUUUUAGUAGAGAUGGGGUUUCACCAUGUUGGCCAGGCUGGUCUCGAACCCCUGACCUCAAGUGAUCCACCUGCCCUGACCUCCCAAAGUGCCGGGUUACAGGCGUGAGACACUGCGCCGGACUUCUGGAACAUAUUUUAAAACAAUGCAUGAAGUAAAAUACAAGAUGUAAAAACAAAUUUGCCUUUGAUUGACUAUUCCUACAGGAUUUUAGGAUUGCAAAUCAGAUUUAAUCUAUAUGAUUGAUUGCAAGGUUAUAGGGUGCCCUUGUGGCCCUCAAAACAAUUUCUAACUUCUGCAACCAGUUGUGGACAAAUGUUCCCAGCCCCAGCAGUAGUGGUGGGAGACAGAAACAUCUGAGACAGAUGUUUAGCAUCAGAAACGGAAACAUCUGAGGGUCUGUCACUGUCAAGAUACUUGCUUCACGGUGGGCAGGCUGCAGUUAUUCUUCAGUGUCAAGGGUAAUUUGAAAAGCUCUUUAUUCUUUAAUGCUACACUUAAGUCUAUCUGAAACCUUAAUGACAUGAGGAGCAAAUGGACUCCACAGAAAACUGUUCUUCCCUGUCAAGGGGCUUACUUAGUUAGGUGCCUUAGGGUAAAAAUGCGUUCCUGCUGAAGACUCUGAACUGAAAUAUGAGUUUAGGGCCCAGGAAGAGAGGUGAGUGUGGAUAGAGCAGGGUGUGCUUUUUGAUAUACAAAGUGAAUAGAGACAUGGCUAUUAUGCUGGGGACAUGGGUCAUUAGUCCAAGUGCCAAAGGACAGGAAUGUCUCAGGAAAGGCAUAAGGAAAGUGUACCCUGAUCUAAUAUAUUUCUUUCUGUUCCUCUUUUAAUAAAUAAACCAAACUAACAAAUAUGUAUAAAUCAACACCCAUCAGCUGAAUUAUCACAGAGAGCCAAAACCUACAUCUUGAUGUCUCGCCACACUGUUCAUCAUUUGUAUGAAGCUUCUGCAGGAUGGAUCCUUCUCUUCCUGCAGACCCUGCCUGUUUUCUGGUGGAGGUACACCUUCAAAUUCAACAAAAGUUUAUGAAAACUCACUAUAUUCAACAAAGCCCAAAGAAGAAAAAAAGGAUUUUAUAAACCAAGUGGGACAACUCUCCUUAUCUAUUAAUAAUAAUCAUAUUAACUAACACUUACGGAGGGCUUGCUCUUUGUUGGGCACUAUUUUAAGUGCUUUUCAUAUAAAAUAUACCUUUACACAAACUUUCAGUGACACACGCUGUGCAUACUAUUACUAUCCCCACUUUGAGAUUAUGAAACAGGCUUAGCGGUAACUAUUAAGAUUAGGCUAAAUGUUAGAUCAAGAGUUUGGGUGAUUUAAAAAACAUAUUUUCAUAGCAUAUUUAUUCUCAAAGCAAAGUGUGUAGCUAUUUCAUGUUUUAAUUAAAAACUGGAGACU
rnacentral:lncRNA from 1 species